rnacentral:rRNA from 1 species
UACGUAGGGUGCGAGCGUUUGUCCGGAAUUAUUGGGCGUAAAGAGCUUGUAGGCGGUUUGUCGCGUCUGCUGUGAAUCUCAAGGCUCAACCUUGAGCUUGCAGUGGGUACGGGCAGACUAGAGGUGUGGUAAGGGGAGACUGGAAUUCCUGGUGAUAGCGGUGAAAUGCGCAGAUAUCAGGAGGAACACCGAUGGCGAAGGCAGAUCUCUGGGCCGUAACUGACGCUGGAGGAGCGAAAGCAUGGGGAGCGAACAGGA